UAUAUAUAUAUAUAUAUAUAUAUAUAUAUAUAUAUAUUCUGGCAUCACUGUAUCUCAGAUCCUUGCCACAGUUACAGCAUUUGCCCACGAGAUGGCACUGUUUACUAUAUGAAACCAUAGUACAGCAUAAGCAUUGUAAAGCCUACAGAGGUAUGGCAUAUUAAAUAUAUAUAUAUAUAUAUAUAUAUAUAUAUAUAUAUAUAUAUAUAUAUAUAUAUAUAAAAACCAUGAUAAACUAGGGUAAAUGCAUAGCCUAACCAGGAAAAGCACUGGAAAACUGCAAAUUUACUGUAGUAAACCUAUGCAAGGGACACCACCUUUAACUUUCUCUGGUGAGCUGGGGUCAGGCUUGGAGUUGGGAAUUGGAGCACAUAUUUACUCGCUUCUUAAUUUAGGAGUGUCACCAAAAAAAUAAAAUAAUUCCCCAUCAGCAUCAGUACAUUGCUGGCUUAAGCUGCAGCCUUCACCUCAAAUGACCGUCUUUUCUUUCUGUAGGACAGUCUUAAUGUGAAUUAAAUCAUUAUAUGACACGUGUAUCAGUUCUGUACAAAUGUUGCAGACAGGGUGACGCCUGAGUCCCGAGGAAGAUUAGGAGCAGACCGGUCAGCAAUAUAACGAUCACUGUAAUUCUUUGGGAGUUAGGCAUUAGCAGGGCUUUGAAGAGUCUGAUUAAUCUGCAGGGAGGUAACAGUUCAGGUGCCUCACAGAAAUAAGCAAAACUCACCUGACUGCAGCAAUGGAAGGAGUGGAGUUAGCAAUGCUGUCUAUAUGUGUUCUCAACACCACAAUGACCCUGAUGUACUGGAAAUUCAUAGUGGGGAUCAUUCUAAAAAAGCCAGAGCCGUCAACAGUCAAUCCUGCCUAAUCUAUUCAAAAGAAAUGACCGUGAUGUCAGGAACAAGUUGAAUUGCUUUCCAGUUCUCUCUUAGCUUGUUAGUUUAGCCGGCACUAUUUACAGCGGUUGUUUUUUUGUUGUUUGUUUUUCUGGGGGGGCAGGUUUGAGGUGGGGUGGGGGCUAACCUUAUGAAACCUCAAAAUUGAACAUUAUAUCCUCUGAUCAAUCUGGAAAAUCCUUGUGAGAAAAGGAAACAGCAUGGAUGGGAAACUGGUUGCUGUUGGCUUCAAGUACAGCAAAAUUCUUCCGAAGGCAAAGUGAUGCUUCCACAAUUUGAAGACACGCUGUUUGGACCGGAUCCAGAUCACACAAAGACACCGAUCAGAAGAAACAGUGACAGGUUCGGGGAGGAGUGGACGCUGAAAAGCAAUGACGGGGAUGGCGCCGAUGAUGAUGCGCGUUUGUACUUUGAGAGGAAUAAGGAAAUCCCGAUUAUCCGGGUGAUAUAUGAAGAUAUGGAGCCACGGCAUUCGCGAUCCGGUCCGCGGGUGAUGUUUGGGAAGCCUGUGGAUAAUUCAUCUGUGUUCUAGCUAAAAUAUUAUUAAUGCUUCAAGUUGUCAGGCACAUUUAAUAAUUACACAUAAUCCAAUAUAUGUAUAUAUAUAUUCAGGGCAAUCAGAAAGUAAGUUUACACAUCAACACACCAUAUCAUUGAUGUGGUAAACUUACUUUCUAAUCACCCUGUAUAUAUAUAUAUAUAU